rnacentral:rRNA from 1 species
UAAAUAGCCGCUAUUGUGCUAAGGUAGCAUAAUAAUUUGUCUUCCAAAUAAAGACCAGAACAAAUGAUUUAACAUUUUCAUUUAUUUAUUUAAAUUAACAAUUUAAAUUAUUCUUAAUAUAAAAAAAUUUUAAUAAAAAAAAAAGACGACAAGACCCUAUUGAACUUAACUGAAGUUAAACUGGGGUAGUAAAUUAAUUAUUAUUUUAAUUUAAUUUUAAAAUUAAAUAUCUAAUAAAAUUAAUUAUUUAGUUACCAUAGGGAUAACAGCGCAAUUAUAUUUAAAAGAUCUUAUAAAAAAUAUAGUUUACGACCUCGAUGUUGAAUUAAUAACCUAUUUAAAGUAAAUUUUAAAAAAGGUAGCCUGUUCGGCUUUUAAAAAAUUACAUGAUUUGAGUUCAGACCGGUGUAAGCCAGGUCGGUUUCUAUCUUUUUAAAAACUUUUACAGUACGAAAGGGCCUAAUAAUUUAAUUAAAUUUUUCAAUUGGCAGAUUAAUGCAUUAGAAUUAGAAUCUAAUAAACUAAAA